UAUUUCUUUGAUCUUUAAUUAGUUUAUUUAUAAUUAGGGUUGGUAUCUGUUAGGACAUAAUUUCUUUAUAUUUUCUAAUAUGAUUGAAUUUUGCAUUUAUUGCAUAUACAGAUAGAGAUUAGUAGAACUUCCAAGAAAUAAUUGUGAAAAAAAAACAAAAAACACUCUAAUUGCUAAGAACAAAAAAGGGUUAAUGUCCUCCAUGGUGGCCGGCGGGCUUAAGUGGAUCUUUCAGGAUCACGAUGGUCAUACAGUUCUCCAAGUUGAGGUUUCAGUGGAGGGUUUGAAAGCGUUUGAGCUAUAAGAGUGCUCCAAGCUUAACCCCUCACUUUCACUUGAGGGAGAGGUUAUUAUUAAUCCUGCUCGUUAGGGAGAUUUAUUUUUCUGAAUUAGGAUUACUCAUCUGAGGGAAAAACAUAUUAAAGUUUUGGUUUUUUUUUUUUUUUACGCGUUUUUAAACAGUAGAACAAAUUAAAACUAUUCAUGCUAUUGCAGCUUUUACAUCCUCUCUAGGUGUUUUUAUUUUGUUUAAAUGUAGAAAGAGGUUCUUUUGUAUAGUAUUAUCUUCCUCAUCCUUUAUGAGGUGCUAACAAGUAAAUGAUAGGGUUUAUUGGUUGCUAUAGUUUUGUUAUGUUACAUUUUUUUAAUUCUAGAUGAUUUAACUACAAUUAGAUUUAUUUCAUUUGCUAUAUUGAUAUAUAUAUAUAUAUAUAUCAAAGGACUAAAAGAAAAAUAAUAUAUAAUGAAUAAACUUUGGAAAAGGAUAUCUAAAUAGAUACAAAUGAAAGAAUAUAUUUUUGGUGAAAGAGGGACAAAGCUUCGGUGCUUGGUGGAGCUAUCAAGUUUGUGAAAGAGCUUCAAGAACGUCUCAAAUGGGCUGAGGAAAAAGAAAAGGAGCAGAAGAGAGUAAUUAAAUCAGUCGUGUUUGUGAAAACAAUCAAUCUCGACUCCGACUUUGAUAACGAAACCUUUUCAUUGGAUGAGAAUGGUGGCAGGUUUUCGGUUCGAUCAGUUCCUACAAUAGAAACAAGAGUUUUGGAGAAGGAUGUUUUGGUAAGAAUUCAUUGCAAGAAACACAAAGGAUGUUAUACGAGCAUAGUAAGCGAAAUAGAGAAGCUUAAGCUUACAAUUGUGAAUAGCUGCGUUUUUCCAUUUGGUCAAUCCAGACUUGACAUAACCAUUAUUGCCGAGAUGGAGGCUGGUUUUUGCAUGACACCUAUGGAUCUCGGGAAGAAGCUAAGAGAGACUUUGAUCGAGUUCAUAUAGGAUUUUAAUAUAUCAAUAUAUAUGCACAAAAAAUAUUAAUAUAUAGCUUAAUUCCAUAUGAAUGACAAUGGAUAAUGCGUUGAAAAGAUUAUAUUGUUGGCAUUAGGAUUACAUAAUUAAUAUAUUUAUAACAAAGAGUUAAAAGUUGUA